ensembl:snRNA
GUACUGUAUGAAAGGAGAGAAGACCAGCUAUUUCCCUUAAUAAAAAUGAAAGGGGUCAUAAAGUCUUUAUAACACAUAUAAUUGUAACAUUGCCACCUACUCUGAGGCAUCUAAAUAUGUUUUU